UACGAAGGGAGCUAGCGUUGUUCGGAAUUACUGGGCGUAAAGCGCACGUAGGCGGAUUGCUAAGUCAGGGGUGAAAUCCCGGGGCUCAACCUCGGAACUGCCUUUGAUACUGACAAUCUCGAGUCCGAUAGAGGUGGGUGGAAUUCCUAGUGUAGAGGUGAAAUUCGUAGAUAUUCGCAAGAACACCAGUGCGAAGGCGGCUGACUGGUCCGGUUCUGACGCUGAGGCGCGAAA
rnacentral:rRNA from 1 species